rnacentral:rRNA from 1 species
AAUAGAUACCCCGGUAGUCCACGCCGUAAACGAUGGAUACUAGCUGUUGGAGGUAUCGACCCCUUCAGUAGCGAAGCUAACGCGUUAAGUAUCCCGCCUGUGGAGUACGGUUGCAAGACUAAAACAUAAAGGAAUUGACGGGGAUCAGCACAAGCGGUGGAUUAUGUUCUUUAAUUCGUAUGAUAACCGAUGAACCUUACCAGGGUUUGACAUCCAGGAAAGCACUGUGAAAGCAGCGUGUGCCUUUUGGAAUCCUGUGACAGGUGUUGCAUGGCCGUCGUCAGCUCGUGUCGUGAGAUGUUUGGUUAAGUCCAUCAACGAGCGCAACCCUUGUGAAUAGUUGUAUUUUUCUAUUCAGACUGCUCUAGUAAUAGGGAGGAAGGAGGGGAUGGAUGGUCAGGUCAGUAUUACCCUUACACCCUGGGCUAGAAACAUAAUACAAUGGCCGGUACAAUGCGCAGCGAAGCAGCAAUGUGGAGCAAAUCGCAUCAAAGCCGGUCCCAGUUCGGAUAAGAGGCUGAAACUCGU